GACGAACGCUGGCGGCGUGCCUAAUACAUGCAAGUAGAACGCACAGUUUAUACCGUAGCUUGCUACACCAUAGACUGUGAGUUGCGAACGGGUGAGUAACGCGUAGGUAACCUGCCUGGUAGCGGGGGAUAACUAUUGGAAACGAUAGCUAAUACCGCAUAAUAUUAAUUAUUGCAUGAUAAUUAAUUGAAAGGUGCAAUUGCACCACUACCAGAUGGACCUGCGUUGUAUUAGCUAGUAGGUGAGGUAACGGCUCACCUAGGCGACGAUACAUAGCCGACCUGAGAGGGUGAUCGGCCACACUGGGACUGAGACACGGCCCAGACUCCUACGGGAGGCAGCAGUAGGGAAUCUUCGGCAAUGGACGAAAGUCUGACCGAGCAACGCCGCGGGAGUGAAGAAGGUUUUCGGAUCGUAAAGCUCUGUUGUAAGAGAAGAACGGGUGUGAGAGUGGAAAGUUCACACUGUGACGGUAGCUUACCAGAAAGGGACGGCUAACUACGUG
rnacentral:rRNA from 1 species